ACCUGAGUGGCUCAAUCGGUUAAGCGUCUGACUUCAGCUCAGGUCUGUGAGUUUGAGCCUCACAUCGGGCU
rfam:Felis catus isolate Cinnamon breed Abyssinian chromosome D2, whole genome shotgun sequence.